rnacentral:rRNA from 1 species
GUGAGGAAUAUUGGUCAAUGGGCGGGAGCCUGAACCAGCCAAGUCGCGUGAAGGAAGAAGGAUCUAUGGUUCGUAAACUUCUUUUGCAGGGGAAUAAAGUGCAGGACGUGUCCUGUUUUGUAUGUACCCUGAGAAUAAGGAUCGGCUAACUCCGUGCCAGCAGCCGCGGUAAUACGGAGGAUCCGAGCGUUAUCCGGAUUUAUUGGGUUUAAAGGGUGCGUAGGUGGUUUGAUAAGUCAGCGGUGAAAGUUUGCAGCUUAACUGUAAAAAUGCCGUUGAAACUGUCGGACUUGAGUGUAAAUGAGGUAGGCGGAAUGCGUGGUGUAGCGGUGAAAUGCAUAGAUAUCACGCAGAACUCCGAUUGCGAAGGCAGCUUACUAAGCUACAACUGACACUGAAGCACGAAAGCGUGGGGAUCAAACAGGAUUAGAAACCCGGUAGUCC